AUUGAACGCUGGCGGCAGGCCUAACACAUGCAAGUCGAACGAGUGGCGGACGGGUGAGUAAUGUCUGGGAAACUGCCUGAUGGAGGGGGAUAACUACUGGAAACGGUAGCUAAUACCGCAUACCAUCGGAUGUGCCCAGAUGGGAUUAGCUAGUAGGUGGGGUAAAGGCUCACCUAGGCGACGAUCCCUAGCUGGUCUGCGCGGAUGACAAUCCACACUGGAACUGAGGCACGGUCCACAGUCCUACGGGAGGCAGCAGUGGGGAAUAUUGCACAAUGGGCGCAAGCCGGAUGCAGCCAUACCGCGUUUAGGAAGAAGGCCUUCUGGUUGUAAAGUACUUUCAGCGGGGAGGCGUUACCCGCAGAAGAAGCACCGGCUAACUCCGUGCCAGCAGCCGCGGUAAUAC
rnacentral:rRNA from 1 species